AUCCAGUUGAUGAGUCUCAAUCAGGACGAAAUGCUCAUCCUGGGU
rnacentral:hammerhead_ribozyme from 1 species